rnacentral:rRNA from 1 species
UACGUAGGGUGCAAGCGUUAAUCGGAAUUACUGGGCGUAAAGCGUGCGCAGGCGGUUCGUUGUGUCGGCGGUGAAAGCCCCGGGCUCAACCUGGGAAUGGCCGUUGAAACUGGCGAACUGGAGUGUGGCAGAGGGGGGUGGAAUUCCGCGUGUAGCAGUGAAAUGCGUAGAGAGUGCGGAGGAACACCGAUGGCGAAGGCAAUCCCCCGUGGGCCUGCACUGACGCUCAUGCACGAAAGCGUGGGAGCAAACAGG